AUUGAACGCUGGCGGCAGGCCUAACACAUGCAAGUCGGACGGUAGCACAGAGGAGCUUGCUCCUCGGGUGACGAGUGGCGGACGGGUGAGUAAUGUCUGGGGAACUGCCCGAUAGAGGGGGAUAACUACUGGAAACGGUAGCUAAUACCGCAUAACGUCGCAAGACCAAAGUGGGGGACCUUCGGGCCUCACACCAUCGGAUGUGCCCAGAUGGGAUUAGCUAGUAGGUGGGGUAAUGGAUCACCUAGGCGACGACCCCUAGCUGGUCUGAGAGGAUGACAAGCCACACUGGAACUGAGACACGUUCCUGACUCCUACGGGGGGCAGCAGUGGGGAAUAUUGCACAAUGGGCGCAAGCCUGAUGCAGCCAUGCCGCGUGUAUGAAGAAGGCCUUCGGGUUGUAAAGUACUUUCAGCGGGGAGGAAGGCGGUGGAGUUAAUAACUUCACCGAUUGACGUUACCCGCAGAAGAAGCACCGGCUAACUCCGUGCCAGCCGCCGCCGUAA
rnacentral:rRNA from 1 species